UGGUUGCUUAUUUUGAUGGUCAGGUAGAAUCAUUUGAACUUAAGAUGCCUAUCCUCAGUUGUACAUUUACCAAACUGGAGUGAAAUGAUUUGCUUUUCAAAGCACAUCAAUAAUUUGACCCUCAAAUUUAUUUGAAAUAUGAUUAUGAAAAUGCCCUUUUCUCUAAUUUCGGUAUCCUUCAUUGUCAAUGUGACCUUGUGAUUUCUAAAGGGCAGUGAUGUCUUGAGGUAUGAGUAUGACUCAAAAUCUUAGAUUUAAAGACAUUUUCUUAUUUUGUGAGAGAAAUAUUUCUCAAUUGAAUUAGGAUUUUGCGUUACUUUAUUCUCUCUUGUAUUUGGAUCCACUUUUAAAGGACAUACUGUAACAAAAUUUGCCUUAUUGAAUCUGAAGGUUUGGUUGUAUUUUGGGGCUUAAGCUAUGUCUAUGAUCCUAUUGUCCAUCAUCGAAUCUUCUCCGUCAUUACUUUGCCCACUAAUGCAGGUCAAGGGCUGGACUAUAUUUUCUCACUCAGUUUUUGUUUUGAUUCACAGCUAAGAUAGAAUCUAAAAGUCUUAGUUGACUUUUACUUUAUUUUUUAAAGAACCUUCUUGAGAAGAGUCUGCCAUAUGUAGUCCUAACUCACAAUCUAUAACAUUUUGCGCUUGAAAUGCUCUCAGAUUUCAAGCCCUAGCAUUUUUGUUUUGUUGCCUAGGACCCUAGGACUUUUACCUUUGUGCAAUGCUACCCCUUAUCCACAAGCAUAGGGUAUUUUCUUAUAUAGUCUCUGGCAAAAUUGGUGAAGGUCACAUGUUACCAUAGAGGAGAAUUUGGGGUAGCAAGAUGAAGUGGAAGAAGAGGGCAUCAAGUGAACAGUGAUCCGAUUUUUAUUCCAGUCAGUGUUCUCCUGUAUUUUAAGUUAUUCCUUUUGAAGGAUCUUGAAUCGUACAUGCAAACAUCAAAUCAUAAAAACUUCCCCCACCUCCAUCCUCUUUUUGUAACCAGAUUACAUGGGUACGAGGAGCAAAUAGCAUGCUUGUUAUAAGUGGUAUUUUUUUAAUUUAUUAAUUUUAUAAAUGCUGUAAGAGCGAAACACAAUGUAAUUACAAAUUUAGACAAAUUGUUCUCACCUUAUCUAAAGUACUUGAUCCAAAUGAUGUUUAGAAGUAGUCAGCAAUAUGCCUUUGUUUCAUUUGUCAAGAUGGAAUUCUGCUUGUCAUUUGGGAAAUCAAUCUUACUAUAUUGUAUUAAAUUAAUGGUUGGCAUUCUUUAAGGGCUGAUAUUGCUAAUUCUUUUACAGUUCCUGAUUGCACUGCUAUCAACUAUUCAUAGGCAAUUUGAAUUGGCAGGCUUUAUAUGUGGCUAAUAUCGGAGAUUCAGGAUUUCUCAUUAUA
rnacentral:misc_RNA from 1 species